rnacentral:rRNA from 1 species
GGAACGUGCCCAGUCGGUGGGGGAUAACGUAGUAGAAAAUUACGCUAAUACCGCAUACGAUCUAAGGAUAGAAAGGCGGGGGAUCGCAAGACCUCGCGCGAGUUGGAGCCGGCCGAUAUCAGAUUAGGUAGUUGGUGAGGUAAAGGCUCACCAAGCCGACGAUCUGUAGCUGGUCUGAGAGGACGACCAGCCACACUGGAACUGAGACACGGUCCAGACUCCUACGGGAGGCAGCAGUGGGGAAUUUUGGACAAUGGACGCAAGUCUGAUCCAGCCAUUCCGCGUGCAGGACGAAGGCCUUCGGGUUGUAAACUGCUUUUGUACAGAACGAAAAGGUCUCUAUUAAUACUAGGGGCUCAUGACGGUACUGUAAGAAUAAGCACCGGCUAACUACGUG